rnacentral:rRNA from 1 species
UGGGGAAUUUUGGACAAUGGGCGAAAGCCUGAUCCAGCAAUGCCGCGUGUGCGAAGAAGGCCUUCGGGUUGUAAAGCACUUUUGUCCGGAAAGAAACCGUUCGGCUAAUACCCGGAUGGGAUGACGGUACCGGAAGAAUAAGCACCGGCUAACUACGUGCCAGCAGCCGCGGUAAUACGUAGGGUGCGAGCGUUAAUCGGAAUUACUGGGCGUAAAGCGUGCGCAGGCGGUUAUGCAAGACAGGUGUGAAAUCCCCGGGCUCAACCUGGGAACUGCACUUGUGACUGCAUGACUAGAGUGCGUCAGAGGGAGGUGGAAUUCCGCGUGUAGCAGUGAAAUGCGUAGAGAUGCGGAGGAACACCGAUGGCGAAGGCAGCCUCCUGGGAUGACACUGACGCUCAUGCACGAAAGCGUGGGGAGCAAACAGGGAUUAGAUACCC